rnacentral:rRNA from 1 species
AGGACGAACGCUGGCGGCGUGCUUAACACAUGCAAGUCGAGCGAACCUUCGGGUUAGCGGCGAACGGGUGAGUAACACGUGGGCAACCUGCCCCGAGCUCUGGGAUAACUCCGGGAAACCGGGGCUAAUACCGGAUAUGACCCGAGAAGACAUCUUCUCGGGUGGAAAGUUUUUCGGCUCGGGAUGGGCCCGCGGCCUAUCAGCUUGUUGGCGGGGUAACGGCCCACCAAGGCGACGACGGGUAGCC